AGAACGAACGCUGGCGGCAUGCCUAAUACAUGCAAGUCGAACGAACUCUUCGGAGUUAGUGGCGCACGGGUGCGUAACGCGUGGGAAUCUGCCCCUUGGUUCGGAAUAACAGUUGGAAACGACUGCUAAUACCGGAUGAUGACGAAAGUCCAAAGAUUUAUCGCCAAGGGAUGAGCCCGCGUAGGAUUAGCUAGUUGGUGAGGUAAAGGCUCACCAAGGCAACGAUCCUUAGCUGGUCUGAGAGGAUGAUCAGCCACACGUGGGACUGAGACCACGGCCCAGACUCCGUACGGGAGCAGCAGUAGGAAUAGUUAGGACAAGUGGGACGAAAGCCGUAGGAUCCAGACAAGUCGGACCGUCGUAGGAGUGAGUGAAGGUCCGUUAGGGUUAGUAAAGUCGUUAC
rnacentral:rRNA from 1 species